UUUGAUCUGUGAAAAUUACAGCCGUUCUUUUACUUCUGUCCUUACCAGUCUUAGCUGGAGGAAUUACUA
rnacentral:rRNA from 1 species